CUCCUCCCCCCUUGGGGGAGUCCAUGUGAAAGGAGCUAGAGAAGUAUUGCUGUAUCCUGAGAUAACAAGGAGAUAGCACUAAUUUCUCUACAAUGAGGACUUAUCCACAAUGACACAUGCAUCCCUUGAUCCAGGAGAGACUACAGCAAUGCAUUCUCGCUGGGGAUAAAGUCAAGGCCACACAAAGCUUCAACAAACACAGUUUAGAAAAUGAAGACAGAGGAGAGCACACAACACCAGUACUCGGGCCAGACAGAAGAGAACCAUCCAACCCCUGGAACUAACUACAGAGAACGUUAAAGAACAUGGUAUUGUCCAGUGUUGCUAUGUACAAUGUUAACAGAGUAACUUUAUUUGUCUAAUCCAAACAUGGUGUUGAGAACACACAGACAGAGAUAUAGCCAAAGUGUAAAUUAAAUUAUCUAAUUACAACUGCAAUUAAUUAUCUAGCCAGCCAGCACUAAUAACAUUUUAGAAAAUGUUACUGUGAAAUACAAGGACUCGCAUGAUUAUUUUUUAAAUUCCUUUAGAUCUCUAAAUUAAAUAAACUUCCUUUGCCCAUCAGAAUUUCAUUUGAAGAAGUUCUUUGUAGAGCUUGUUGGGAUUU